UCGGAUGAAGUUUGGGCUCUUUUCUUGAUUAGUAAUGUUGAAUACUUGUUUUCGAUUGCUUCGGCUUUUUUGCGUAAGAUAGUUUGAAGGUAAUUUGAAGACUAAGCGAGACGGAGCUUGAGUCCUCGAAAGGUGAAUAUAUAUAUGAUAUUGUUCAUCUAUUUAUAAGGGAUAUGUACAUCUUUGUACGAAAUUACAAACAUCCACAAAGUUUACAUACAUGAUUUACAAAUGAUAUAAGAACAUUAUUGUUGUUUUUCUUUCUUUCUUGUUGCACGAGUCUUAGACUUUUCUCUUUCAUCACUUUGCAUCCGGAGUUUUCUUCAGGCCGAGACUGUCGGCUUGCACCUUCGCCGCCCGUGCGUAUUGGACGAAGCUUCUAUACAGCACUUCGGACGAAAGC
rnacentral:lncRNA from 7 species